rnacentral:rRNA from 1 species
AUUGAACGCUGGCGGCAUGCCUAACACAUGCAAGUCGAACGGCAGCACGGACUUCGGUCUGGCGGCGAGUGGCGAACGGGUGAGUAAUGCAUCGGAACGUGCCCAGUCGUGGGGGAUAACGCAGUGAAAAUUACGCUAAUACCGCAUACGAACUACGGAUGAAAGCGGGGGAUCGCAAGACCUCGCGCGAUUAGAGCGGCCGGUGUCGGAUUAGGUAGUUGGUGGGGUAAAGGCCCACCAAGCCAACGAUCCGUAACUGGUCUGAGAGGAGGACCAGCCACACGGGAACUGAGACACGGGCCAGACUCCUACGGGAGGCAGCAGUGGGGAAUUUUGGACAAUGGGCGAAAGCCUGAUCCAGCCAUGCCGCGUGGAGGAUGAAGGCCCUCGGGUUGUAAACUGCUUUUGUUCAGAACGAAGAGGUUUCUACUAAUACUAGGAGCUCAUGACGGUACUGUAAGAAUAAGCACCGGCUAACUACGUGCCAGCCGCCGCAGUAA